AUUGAACGCUGGCGGCAGGCCUAACACAUGCAAGUCGAGCGGAUGAAGGGAGCUUGCUCCUCGAUUCAGCGGCGGACGGGUGGGUAAUGCCUAGGAAUCUGCCUGGUCGUGGGGGCUAACGUCCGGAAACGGGCGCUAAUACCGCAUACGUCCUGAGGGUGAAAGUGGGGGAUCUUCGGACCACACGCUAUCAGAUGAGCCUAGUUCGCAUUAGCUAGUUGGUGGGGUAAAGGCCUACCAAGGCGACGAUCCGUAACUGGUCUGAGAGGAUGAUCAGUCACACUGGAACUGAGACACGGUCCAGACUCCUACGGGAGGCAGCAGUAGGGAAUAUUGCACAAUGGGCGAAAGCCUGAUCCAGCCAUGCCGCGUGUGUGAUGAAGGUCUUCGGAUUGUAAAGCACUUUAAGUUGGGAGGAAGGGAAGUAAGUUAAUACCUUCCUGUUUUGACGGUACCAACAGAAUAAGCACCGGCUAACUUCGUG
rnacentral:rRNA from 1 species